rnacentral:rRNA from 1 species
GUGGGGAAUAUUGGACAAUGGGCGAAAGCCUGAUCCAGCAAUGCCGCGUGAGUGAUGAAGGCCUUAGGGUUGUAAAGCUCUUUUACCCGGGAUGAUAAUGACAGUACCGGGAGAAUAAGCCCCGGCUAACUCCGUGCCAGCAGCCGCGGUAAUACGGAGGGGGCUAGCGUUGUUCGGAAUUACUGGGCGUAAAGCGCACGUAGGCGGCUUUGUAAGUUAGAGGUGAAAGCCCGGGGCUCAACUCCGGAAUUGCCUUUAAGACUGCAUCGCUAGAAUUGUGGAGAGGUAAGUGGAAUUCCGAGUGUAGAGGUGAAAUUCGUAGAUAUUCGGAAGAACACCAGUGGCGAAGGCGACUUACUGGACACAUAUUGACGCUGAGGUGCGAAAGCGUGGGGAGCAAACAGGAUUAGAAACCCGUGUAGUCC